rnacentral:rRNA from 1 species
UGGGGAAUAUUGCACAAUGGGCGAAAGCCUGAUGCAGCGACGCCGCGUGAAGGAAGAAGGUCUUCGGAUUGUAAACUUCUAUCAGUAGGGAAGAAAUAAAUGACGGUACCUAACUAAGAAGCCCCGGCUAACUACGUGCCAGCAGCCGCGGUAAUACGUAGGGGGCAAGCGUUAUCCGGAUUUACUGGGUGUAAAGGGUGCGUAGGUGGUAAUAUAAGUUUGAUGUGAAACCUCAGGGCUUAACCUUGAGCAUGCAUCAAAAACUAUAUAACUAGAGUGCAGGAGAGGAAAGUGGAAUUCCUAGUGUAGCGGUGAAAUGCGUAGAUAUUAGGAGGAACACCAGUAGCGAAGGCGGCUUUCUGGACUGUAACUGACACUGAGGCACGAAAGCGUGGGGAGCAAACAGG